ACUCCUACGGGAGGCAGCAGUGGGGAAUAUUGCACAAUGGGCGCAAGCCUGAUCCAGCCAUGCCGCGUGAGUGAUGAAGGCUCUAGGGUUGUAAAGCUCUUUCACCGGUGAAGAUAAUGACGGUAACCGGAGAAGAAGCCCCGGCUGAACUCAGUGCCAGCAGCCGCGGUAAUACGGAGGGUGCGAGCGUUAAUCGGAAUUACUGGGCGUAAAGCGCGUGUAGGUGGCUUGUUAAGCCAGAUGUGAAAGCCCCGGC
rnacentral:rRNA from 1 species